rnacentral:rRNA from 1 species
GAGGUUGGGGCUGCUAUAAUGCAGUCGAACGCUUUUUCUUUCACCGGAGCUUGCUCCACCGAAAGAAAAAGAGUGGCGAACGGGUGAGUAACACGUGGGUAACCUGCCCAUCAGAAGGGGAUAACACUUGGAAACAGGUGCUAAUACCGUAUAACACUAUUUUCCGCAUGGAAGAAAGUUGAAAGGCGCUUUUGCGUCACUGAUGGAUGGACCCGCGGUGCAUUAGCUAGUUGGUGAGGUAACGGCUCACCAAGGCCACGAUGCAUAGCCGACCUGAGAGGGUGAUCGGCCACACUGGGACUGAGACACGGCCCAGACUCCUACGGGAGGCAGCAGUAGGGAAUCUUCGGCAAUGGACGAAAGUCUGACCGAGCAACGCCGCGUGAGUGAAGAAGGUUUUCGGAUCGUAAAACUCUGUUGUUAGAGAAGAACAAGGAUGAGAGUAGAACGUUCAUCCCUUGACGGUAUCUAACCAGAAAGCCACGGCUAACUACGUGCCAGCAGCCGCGGUAAUACGUAGGUGGCAAGCGUUGUCCGGAUUUAUUGGGCGUAAAGCGAGCGCAGGCGGUUUCUUAAGUCUGAUGUGAAAGCCCCCGGCUC